GUUAGGCAUAAUAGUAGGGGAAUACAUUCCAGGAAAAGCACCUGCAGUUUUGGUAUUUGCAAAGGAAAGGACUCAUACAGAUAACUCUGCCCGAGAAAUCAAGAUGCCAUCUGUGUCAGCAUAAAGCCAUUCGCCAUCACUGAUUCUUGUCCCACCAAUAGUUAUUGGCACAUGUUUCUCCCCAAUCCCCUUCUUAUUGGCUUUCAUGGGAUGAGAAGCCAGUGCUCUCACACCAAUAUCACACCCAUUAAUUUCAUCAACAUCCCUAAUACACCCAUUCACAACUAUUCCAGCCCAUCCGUUAUUCUGGGCUUGUACGACAGGGUUACCCCCCAAUAUAGCGCACCGCAAACUCCCACCCCCAUCUACAACAAGAACUCUUCCAUUACCC
rnacentral:lncRNA from 1 species